rnacentral:lncRNA from 1 species
UUUUUAAUUUUUCUGUGAUUUAACAUAUGAAGUAUAUGCAAAAUAGCAUAUAAUCUAUUUAUGUGUUUCAUCUGUUUUUAAAUAUGUGCAGGAAGACUGCUUCUACGACCUGCCUUACAAUACUAGGUAUCAAAUUUUUAUGUUACGUUUACGGAAGACAAGGGACAAAAUUAUGAAGUGUACUCUCUAUAUAUGUAGAUAUAUACUUUGAUUGAAGAACUGUGGUAGCUUUAGAUGGUUAAUUGUAAAGAUAAUGAAUGAUUAUGUAG